UUGGUUACAGUGACUAAAGACACUACAUAUGUUGACCACAAGAAGAACAGUAUUGCUCCAUGCCUGGCAGCUGCCUGGAGGGUGGGGCGUCUGUCUCCUUUGCUGGGGGAGAUAACAGCAUGACAUUAGCACCAGUGAGUGCCACCAGCUGCUCAUGUGGGCUUGCCUGCUUCUCUCUGCAGCUCUUGUGGCUGCAUCUUGUUUUCUGUAGUCCCAUGAGCUCCGAUGAGCAGGAAGGACCUCUUUGAUCUGUGAGGACUGGGGAGCAGGCUAAGUUCCCUGGGCACCCAUGUCCCGAGCACACUUGUAAGAGGCUGGACUUGGUCUUGGUCUUGGGGAGUAAGGCUUUGGAUCAUUCAGAAUGAGGCAGCAUUUGACAUCAAAGUGGUCACCUCCACAGCCGGUUUGUCCUGCUUAAUACUCAGAAGGAAGCAGAGGGACCAUCAGCCACCCGCAGAGAGCCUAUGGUCUACCUCCUAUGAAAGAAUGCACGAGCAGACUAGCAACCUCUGGCUUUUCAGGAGUCCUGACGAGAGUUCAGCGAGACAACUGGAGUCCAGAAGAUCUGGGGUCCAUAUCAGUGGCCUGGGCUGAGUUGGGAGACCUGGAAGAACUAAGAAGGAGACAAGGAACAUCAGUACACCACCUCUCACACUAGAGAUGCUCCACCUCCAACAUACUCAGCUGACUCUGCUGACUCCCUGGAUCUUCCUGAGCUGAUCCAGCCAGCUAAAGCACUUCCAUGUUCUCUGGGGUCUCAUUUUACCACCACUGAGGAAUCCUGGAAGGUUUCACCACGCCAGGUGAGUAGACAAGUUCCUGGGUCCUCCUUCAGGGACCCUCUCUCUUCACAGUUAAGAAAGAUUUGGUGUCCCCUCUAGUGGGUAUACAAAAAGACCACAACCACAAAUAAGCCAGACCAGCCCUUGCCGGGACCCACGUACUCCUGGGCAGCAUGUAAAGAGCUGAGUAAUUUGGCCUCACCACUUAAAAAUAAUGUCAGUUAUUCUUUUAAAAAUAUCCUCUUCCAUGAUUCAAAAAUAAAACAUAGUUUUGUUCGGUCUUAUUCACACAAAACCAUUUCUUCGGUUGGAAAAAAACCCGAAACAAAACAAAACUAAGACUAAAUAGUUUCAGCCAAAACACUUUCAGAAAGUUAUGAGUCACUGAGUGAAGGUUGCAGGGGUAGAAGGUAGGGAAUGGAGGUGCUUGGAGGGCGGUGGGCGGUCUGCAGACAGACGUCACGGAGGUAUAGUGCUCUGUCUUGCUUAUGUACUGGCCUGUCAAUAUAUUCAAGUGGAGGGCUUGGGCUGUGGCUCUUGGUAAAUGAGAUUGGCACCUGUUCUAUUUGGGCUAUUCCACAAAUGCCAAAGGGAUACCUAGCUCCUUCCAUCUGGAACAGCAAGUCACGAUGGAGCAGUCACAUCAUCUGCACCCAGUGGGAACCGGCAUCUCCAUGACCAUGACUAUCCUAAGGGAGCCCUGGGAGAGCAUGGGAGGGUGAGCAUGCUAGUCCCACAGGUCAACCCUUCAUCCAAAGGCUUCCACUCUGCCCACAACAAACCUGACAGUCAACUUCUAUGAUGCGGGGCUCUAGCCUGAGCUUCCUGCCCUGGGCAGUCAGUGUCUUCUUUCUGGCAAGUGUGUGCUACUUUUAACAGUUAUUCAGGAAAAGUUGGACAUCCACUCUCUGUGGCUAGGUACAGGAGACCUGGCAGAAGGACAAGCGGAUGAGAAGGUGGGAGCUCAAAGACACACAGCUUCUCCAAGGGAAGGGCUCCUUGCUCUUGACGGAAGCUGGGGGCAGUUCCACAUUUAGGAAAAAUGACUGCAUGCCUGGCCCUCAGCGGGGACACAUUUCUCUCACCCCUAUGCUGCAGGUGAGGCCUGCCUGCUCUCUCACUCUGGGCAAUUGGAGCUGUUGGAGGCCUGUGCCACCACGGUGAAUCAAGGGCACCCAGGCCCUGUAAGUUGUGUCUGGGUGUUACACUGUUUCUGGGUACCACACUGCCUAGAUCACGGCACAGGCAUGUGCUCCUUCAAGACAGUCGCUGGCCUGCUCUGUACCCCAGUGCUCAGGUACUGCUCCCUAUACUAACUUGGAAGGGAGAAGCCUGGGGUAGCAAAAGGAUUCACAGCCAUGGUGUGCUCGGAUGCAUGCAGAGACUCCUGAGUACACAGUCCUGGGAACAUUGCCUGCAGCCGAGCUUCAAAUUCAACCUCUCCUGGGCACUGGGCUGAGUCUUCCUAAAACACUCUGCUCUCAUUUUGGACCUGCUCCUGGACCCCCUAGAAGCUUCUGGCAGAGCACCAGGCAUCUAUGUAACACACUCAGAAAGCCUGAGCAGUACUUACACCAUCAGCUCCAGCAGAGAAGAAACGCACCUUUGUGAUAAAAAUACAAACAGUUUUGCACAUGAAGACUUCAUUAGAUAUUUAUCAAAUAAUUUAAAAGUUGGCUCAAAAUGACUCUAAUUUACUGCGAGGCUCCCUGAUAGCCAGAUAAAAGGAAGGACCGGAAGGCAGCAUUGGCCGACUUGACUCCAUUCCUUCUGCAGAGGGGCUUCCUGGGAACCACAUGUAGACCCAUAAAUGGUGUCUCUCCAGGGCCACAGAUUGUGAACACCAAUGAAGAUGCUCAGCAGACUAUCUCUGAUCAGGAGAUCUGGGGCCUUGAAGAGAGUGGUAAAUGGUGUUCUCCAUAACAUGUAACAAGUAGUUUGGUAUUUGUUUACCAACUAAAGGGACGAUUAAGUACCACUGUGUACCUAGAAUGAUAAUGUGGCUGGCUGUGUCUUCUGAGGGUCUUUCAUGUCCCUCAGCUACCUUUUGACAACGGAGGAGGUGUAACUCAGAGCUGAGGAUAAAGUCAACAUUAGGUUUUGAAGACACCUAUGUGAACAGAGGGGGUCUGGGUAUCGCUACAGACUCACAACUUUCAUCACGAAGGCUGAAUCUCAUUUCUGUAUUCUUGGGCUCUUGGCUAGAGCCCUUGGGGAAUGUGUGCCUCUGUGUACUGACACUCUGUGAAUGUGGGAAGCUGGGGAAAGGAUGCUGGUUCUUGGUCUCAUCUUGAAUUUGUUAGGAAGCCUCCUAAGGUGUGGAUGUCACCAGACACAUCUGCUCAAGGAUAUGAAUAUGAAGGCCCAACCCGCUAGCUGUGGUGGAUGAAUCCCUCACAUUACAGAGACAUGGGAUGAACCAAGUGAGGGUAUCAGAUCAUUCUAGAGCCCUAGCGUAAACAUGCAGGCUGCCAGAGUUUAAACAGUGGCCCUGGUUUGACCGAGGACUAGGCUUUAGGACCCAAUGCACUGAGUAUAGUGAGCUUCAGCGUGCAGCCUGCACAGUCUCAUGAAGCCUGACCCUCUUUCCCUAAACUACCAUCAAUUUUGCAAAGCAAACGUACUUUAAGACAUGUCAAAAGUUGUACGUGUCCCAGGUGGGCCAGAGAAGAGGGAAGACUGGUGUAGAGGGAGCCAAGAAUUCUCACUUGUUGAUGAAAGGUAAGAUUACACACCUGGCACUGGCUGCUUGGCUGACUGCAGUGAAGCAGCGCUUUGCUCUGGCCCUUUCUAAAUGUGUUUGUUAUGUUGGCUUACACAGAGGUGCUAUUCACGGCGGUGCUGAGCCUCCUUCUCGCUUGCUAUGGACGGGUGCCGGAGCCUGGGCUAAAGUAGAUUUGAGUCUCCUGGGAACUCCACCCUGAAUGUGGACACGUUGGCUAAUAUUUUAGAUAAGAGUAAACAUCAGGUGCCUUUUGUUGUCUAAAACCAAAGACACACAAGGGAAUGAGAGAAGGAAAGAGUCCAGGCAGGUGAGCCCCUCAUGGGUGGGACCGGGUAUCUCUGUGUGCAAUUGGCAUCUAGGCAGGUCACCGAUCUUGGUUUCUACCAAUCACCAUGAGCUGGCUCUGAAGGUCUUGGGACUAUCUGGAAAUACCCAUAAGCCCACCUGUGUCCCUGAAGACCUUACCUGCCUCUUGGUAGCUUCUUGUGAACUGCCCACCGAGUCUUUCUUCUGAACUCCAGUCUUCUAUCUCCAGGCCCACAGGACACCUCAAACAACGUUUCCCCUUAGCACAGUCUUUACUCUUCCUCAACAGCUCAAUCUCGUCUCACCACAUGGCAUCCCUGUCCCCCCCCCCCCACCCUCCCCCAGUGCAGUGACCCAUGCCAGAAUUCUUCACGACAAAUCUGGCUCUUUCUUUUAGAGGGUGACUCAGGAUGUUAGCAAGUUGCUCGAAAACUUCCACUUCCUUCUGGAUUUUAUCCACUGACUUCCCUUGCUGAUCAACUCUCUAGGCCAUGCUAACAGUGUCUCCCAGCUGAUGGUGGCCUGGGAUCUUUUAUGAUUGCAGAACCAGAACACUCUGCCAAGCACAGAGCCCUGAGAGAGGCCACUAGCAAAAGUGGAUAUGUCCACCCUUUAGUGUGUUGCCUGCUGUUUGAUCUGUGCUCUGACGUCUGCCUGCCAUCCGCUGGGGUUGCCAGGCUAAGGAUUACUUUCCUAGAGCUUGUGGGUCCAGCAUGAUGGAAAUAUCACACCCUUUGCCCAGCAUCUCCUACUUUCCACACUAAUUCUGCCUUCUGUCACCCUUUUCCUCCAGUUUGGCAUGGAUAAUGCGUGCAUUGCUACAGUGGAGUGGGGGGAGGGGCUGUGUCUCUUCAGAACUCUGAACUCAUUUUCUGUGCGUGUGUUCUUGCAGUAGGAUCCUGGGUCCUGUGAGUGUUAGAUGUCUGAUGUACCAUCCCUUGUGCAAUGGAGCCAGCCACCUUCCUAUGAAGAACAUUCAACUUGGUGAGAAGUCUCCAUGCUAUUUAGCAUUCUCUGUAAUAGAACCAACUUACAUUCUCAUCAAGAGCUAAGAGGCUUCCUGCUUGUCAGCUCUUGUCUGUGGCUGGUGCUAGGAGCUAUCUAUCCUAAAGAAAGUGUUGACACCUCACUGUGACUUUGAUUUGCAUUUUCCUGAGAUGACAGCUAGUUUUAAUGGUCAACUUGACAUAACAAAGAAUCACCUGGGAAGAGAGUCUCAAUGAGGAAUUAUUAAGAUGAGGUUGGCCUCUGGGCAUGCUUGUGAGGGAUUUUCUUAAUUGAGUUAAUUGAGGCUGAAGGUGGCAGCCUUAUUUCACGACUGGGUCCUGGGCUUUGCAAGAGUAGGGAAAGCUGGCUGAGCUCUAAGCACGCAAGCUUUCCCUACUCACUUUAGUUUCUCCCUGCUCACUGCUGAGAUGUGAGUGAAGGUUUCAAGUUCUGCCGACUCUGUCCUCCAGCGACCGACAAACUGUAACUUUGUAUCCUGAACCCUAAGAAGGAAGCCCUUUCUCUUCCAAGUUGCUAUUUGUUGACAGCUUCUUUUGAGACGAGUCUGCUUAGGAUCUCGGUCCAUUUUCCUGUGGUUCCCUGUUGAUUCCUUAUUGGGUGUCUGGCUUUUGAAUAUUUUCUCCCCUACCACAGGCUGCCUCUUUUGCUGUGCUGCACCCUUUUCUUUAACAUAAUGUCUUUUGUCCGCUUUCACUUUUGCCCCAAGAAUUCCUGCCCCAGCCCAAGACCCACACGCCCCGCCCCCACCCCCCAUUUCCUUCUAGGCGUUUUUAAGCUUUGCUUCUUGCACUAAGUCUCAACUCUGUGUAAGUUAUUUUUACACACAGAGAGUGCACUGGUUAGUUUCUAUGGACUUGGCAGAAACCCAGACUUAUCUGGUAAGAGGGACUCUCAGCUGAGGAAUUGCCUCUGUCAGAUGAACCUGUGGCCCUAUCUUCAUAGUCUUCAUAGCAUUGUCCUUGAUGGUUGAUUAAUGUGUGUGUAUGUGUGUGUGUUGAGGGGAGGGCGCAGGUGGGCCUGGGCUGUAUAAGGAAGGUAAAUGAGCAAGCCAGAGGAAGCAAGCCACUGAACAAACAGGCUCCUCUUCCUUGGUUUCUUUGUUUCAAGUUCCUGCUUUGAGUUCCUGCCUUGGCUUCCAAACAAACAAACUCUUUACCCCCUAGGCUGGUUUUGGUUAGAGUUUUAGUACAUCAACAGUAAGCAAACUGAAACAAUGGGAUAUAAAAACUUGAUUUCAUUUUUCUGCAUGUGAAUAUCCACAUUUCCUGGCACUGAUAGUUUGAAGAGACCCCACCCCCUUGUGUACCUGGGUGAAGAUUGGUUGAUUGUAUAUGUGUGGAUUUAUUUCUGGGCUUUCUACUUUGUUUUGUAUCUGUGCCUGUUUUCGGACAUGUCAUUCUGUUUGGGCCAUUGAAACACUGUACGUCAGGAAACACAAUCUUCCACAGUCACCUUCUCCUGCUUAGGGUUGGUUUUUGCUACAUGGGUUCUUCUGAUAUUCCAUUUGAAUUUUAGGAUUUUUGAAAAUGUAUUUCUGCCCAAAUCUCAUUGGGAUUCUGAUAGGAGUUGCAUGGACUCUGUAGAUUCCCUUGAGUGGUGGGCACAUUUGAACAUAUAGAGUGGAAAAAAAUAAUGCAGCCCCCAAAACCGAAGACUAUCUCUGCCACUCAGAGUUUUACUUUAGUUUGUCUAGUAGGAGCAUUAUCACCUGUCUUAGGGCAACUCCACUCAACUCCCUACUUUCUCCUUCAAUACGUGUAUCUGUAUUUUCAAGCCCCACAGAGCUUUAUGGUCAUAUAUAUGCAUAUAUACGUACACACUCAUGCACCGCGCACGUGCGCGCGCACACACACACACACACACUUCUACAGUGGGAGGUUUUCAUACCACUUUUUCUAAAGGUAUUUAAUGUUAGUAGUUUCAUCUAUCACCUGGUGGUCUUUUCUGGUGGGAUCACAUAAUCUUCCAUUCCUGGUGUCAGGUUUAAGGACUCUGAUAAUUCUCAUAAAUCAAUAUGGCAGGGCCUCUGUAGCCAAAUACUCCAGAGGAGUGCACAAUGGAGACUGACUUCUAGAAGUCUCUGGGUAUAGAAACCAAAAGUCAGCUCACAAGAGGUUUGUUUCUGGUAUGCCGUCUUUGUCCUUAACAGGUGGCAUCUCCUUCCUGUGUUUGUUCUGAGUAUGGAUGGAUGGAAGAGGGACCACAGUCUCUUCCUCCUCGGAUUAGGUCCUACCCUCUCUCUCAAGGCCUGAACUCCAAGUAUAGUUGUAGAGUGUUUAGGCUUCAAUAUACAAUCUGAAGGGAUUGAAUACAACUCAGUGGUUGACAAUUUAUCCCAACCUCUCUCUCCCUCUCAGUUGAAAAGGGUAUUCUUCCAUCAACUCAAUCUUGGGGUAUUUGAAAGGGUGUGUUUCCAAGCCCCAUGGAUGGAUCUCCAUGCUCACUCCUCCUCCAGGACUGUGUUACCUUAAUGAAGAUAUAACAAGGUUUAAUAUCAAGUGGCUGUGUCCUUCCCUGUAUCCUCCCUGCUUCCAACAGCUCCUGAUCACAUGUCUUUCCCCAUCAACUUUGAUGGUCCUCCCUAGAAACCCUUGGGGGAAUUUUGAUGGUCAUGUUCUUAAAGCUGUGAGUCAAACUGGGAGGAGGCAAUCCCUUGCUUGUGGUACAUCUUCUGCUCUGUGAACAUGGCAUGCCUCUCUAUGUGACCUAUGCAACUUUUCCUUGGUUUGUUCUAUCAGCAUUUUAUAAAUGAAAGAAAAAAUGAAAUUGC